rnacentral:rRNA from 1 species
GUAGGGAAUCUUGCGCAAUGGGCGAAAGCCUGACGCAGCGACGCCGCGUGCGGGAUGAAGGCCUUCGGGUUGUAAACCGCUUUCAGCAGGGACGAAAUUGACGGUACCUGCAGAAGAAGCCCCGGCCAACUACGUGCCAGCAGCCGCGGUAAUACGUAGGGGGCGAGCGUUGUCCGGAUUUAUUGGGCGUAAAGAGCUCGUAGGCGGUUCGGUAAGUCGGAUGUGAAAUCUCCACGCUCAACGUGGAGGGGCCAUUCGAAACUGCCGUGACUUGAGUACGGUAGGGGAGUGUGGAAUUCCCGGUGUAGCGGUGAAAUGCGCAGAGAUCGGGAGGAACACCCGUAGCGAAGGCGGCACUCUGGGCCGAUACUGACGCUGAGGAGCGAAAGCGUGGGGAGCAAACAGGAUUAGAUACCCCGGUAGUCC